UCGGAAUAUUGUGAAGUUAUAUGGGUUUUACUACCACCAGGGUUCCAAUCUACUACUUUAUGAAUACAUGGAAAAGGGUAGUUUGGGAGAAUUACUCCAUGGAUCAUCCUGUAGUCUUGACUGGGGGACGAGAUUCAAGAUUGCAGUUGGAGCUGCUCAGGGCCUUGCUUAUCUGCAUCACGAUUGCAAGCCUCGGAUUUUUCAUCGUGACAUUAAGUCCAAUAACAUUCUGCUUGAUGACAAAUAUGAAGCUCAUGUUGGGGACUUUGGGUUAGCAAAGGUGAUUGACAUGCCACAAUCUAAAUCAAUGUCUGCAGUUGCUGGUUCUUAUGGCUAUAUAGCCCCUGAGUAUGCAUACACCAUGAAAGUGACUGAAAAAUGUGACAUAUAUAGCUAUGGAGUGGUCCUUUUGGAGUUGCUGACUGGCAGAACACCUGUGCAACCACUAGAUCAAGGUGGCGAUCUAGUAACCUGGGUGAGAAAUUACAUUCAGGUUCAUACAUUGUCACCAGGAGUACUUGAUGCUCGACUCGAUCUGGACGAUGAGAAUACAGUCUCUCACAUGAUUACAGUCAUGAAAAUUGCUCUACUUUGCACAAGUAUGUCUCCUUUUGAUCGACCAACAAUGCGGGAAGCUGUUUUGAUGCUUAUCGAAACCAAUAAACGAGUAGGACACUUCGAGUCAUUCCCAAGUCAUCAUGCUAAUUCAAGUGAAGGACACUUUGAUUCAUCCCCAAGUCAUCAUGCUACUUCAAGUGAUGAACUGAUUGUACAUGUUCAAUAAAUAAUUUUGAUAGAUUGGGAUGAUUCUUUAGCAGCUAAUUCAUCCUAGUAUUAGUUACAUAUAGAGAAGAACACGCUACUUGUAUAUUCCUAAUACAAUAAUGUUGCUUUUGGCUGCUAGGCCAAUCAGAAGUGCUCUUAAAAUUUUCUUCUCAACUACUGCUAUUCGAGAAGGAUCAUAAUGUGUAGAAAUGCAUUGCUCUUGCUUUUGUUAA
rnacentral:misc_RNA from 1 species